rnacentral:ribozyme from 16 species
UAAAAAAAAAAAAAAAAAAAAAAAAAAAAAAAAGGGGGGGGGUGUUUUUUUUUUUUUUUUUUUUUUG